AAUUUUACUUUUCAAAAACAUUGUAUUUUUGGUAUCUUGUUAGUUUCUGUGAAAUACACAUUUGUCAUAUUGAUGAACCACUUUUUACUUCUUUUUCUCUGUUGUUAAUUAGUAAAUUUAUAGUAAAUUAUUUUUUUGUAUUGAAGCCAAUUUUGUUCAAAUUUUGCUAUCUUAACGACACAUUUCUGGAUAAUUUGCGCUAUUUUCAUUAGUAUGUAAACAGCUAACAUACUCUAAAUAUAUUAAUAAAACAUCUUAAACGCAUUUUUGUACAUUUCUAAAGAAUUAAAAAUGUGGAUUUCUUAGUCUCAUUGUGCUUUUCACAAACCGUUACAUUGUCUAUGGUUUUGUGCAAUAUCUUCGACAAAAACAUUAUUAAGUACACGUUACAACAUUGCUUUCGUAUAAUGAUGUGUAUAAUAUACUUUCUGAUUUAUAAUUUUGUUUAUCAAUUUGAAAGAACAUCACAUAUUGUAAAAGUAACAAAAUGUUAUAUUGCUGCCAUGUACAGUUAUAAAUGUUUCAUGACUGAUGUCAAUAAAUUGUUACGUCUAAUUUUUCCACCUUGAUAAUGUAAGAAUUAUGUUACCUUGCGGUAAUUAUGCUUAAUGGUAUAAAACGUUUAUAGAAAAUGUAGAAGAAAAAUAAUGGUAUUUGAGUUACAGUUUGAUAAGUUACAACAUUAUUUUGUAAAUAUUUCAGCCCAGUACCGACCACCUGGUGGUGGUGGUGGUAGACAUUGUAGCUGCAGACGUUACUGUUGGCGAGGAGAAUUUCCGAGAGGACGAUGUGGAUACAGACAACAGCUUUGUUGUAGACGACGAUGGGGAGGAGGAGGAGGAUGGGAUUAAAGUGAUGAAUUUUCCAUAGGCUUUAUCAAAAUUCACAAGGUAUUUUGUCUCCAUGAAGAGAAAGCAAUAUAACAGUUAAACACGAAUUAAUUUGUGAUUCAUUGAAUAAAACUGAAUAAAUUUUGAAGAAAAAAAACA